rnacentral:rRNA from 1 species
AUAUUUCACAAUGGAGGGAACUCUGAUGCAGCAACUCCGCGUGAGUGAAGAUGGUCUUCGGAUCGUAAAACUUUGUCAUUGGGGAAGAAUAAAUGACGGUACCCAAUGAGGAAGCCCCGGCUAACUACGUGCCAGCAGCCGCGGUAAUACGUAGGGGGCAAGCGUUGUUCGGAUUUACUGGGAGUAAAGGGCGAGUAGUCGGUAGAUUAAGUCAGAUGUGAAAGUACAGGGCUCAACCCUAGAAUUGCAUUUGAUACUGGAUUACUUGAGUGCAGGAGGGGAGAGCGGAAUUCCUAGUGUAGCUGUGAAAUGCAUAGAUAUUAGGAAGAACACCAGUCGCGAAGGCGGCUCUCUGGACUGUAACUGACGCAGAGGCGCGAGCGCGUGGGUAGCGAACA